UACGAAGGAUUCGAGCGUUAUCCGGAUUUAUUGGGUUUAAAGGGUGCGUAGGUGGACUAAUAAGUCAGUGGUGAAAGCCCGCAGCUUAACUGCGGUACUGCCAUUGAUACUGUUAGUCUUGAGUACAGUUGAGGUGGGCGGAAUGUGUCAUGUAGCGGUGAAAUGCUUAGAUAUGACACAGAACACCGAUUGCGAAGGCAGCUCACUAAGCUGUAACUGACACUGAGACACGAAAGUGUGGGUAGCAAACAGG
rnacentral:rRNA from 1 species